CAAAUUCCGAUUAUACAGCACAACAGCAAUUUAAAGGACCACAACAAAUUACAAGUGAUGAUCUUAUUGAGUUUAGAUAGAAAGCCACAUAUAUGUUGCAAUCAGUUGACAAAAUACCUCCUUCCAACUUCUACCAGAAUCAACAAACCUAAAUGCAGAAGGAUGCUAUCACAACUGAAGUUAUUAGUUUAAACGAACAAACUAUGAUAGUAAAACCAGAUUGCAACGCAGCUCCUUAAGUCAAUUUGUGGAUGGUUUUCAUAUCAAUGACUUCCUUGAGAGUUCCUUUCUCAAGAUGAUCCCACCACUUGAACAAAAAGUUGUCAACGACAAGUCUGAACCAAGGGGAUAGCUUCAGACCUUCCUCACCUGCAUCUGCUUUCCUCAAAAGCUCUUUCAGUUGUUCUCUGUUCACGUACUUAACCUCAGCAACUUCAUCUGGGUUAGGUUUCAUGUUAACUUCACGGACCAUGAAUAGUAGAUAAUCAAGUUCGUGCUCUCCCCACUUCCCGUCAGAUGGAGCUUUAUAAAGUAUACGACCCAAUGGAAUGAACUGGUCAACUGGGACAUCUUCACCUGGAAUACCCAAUUCAUCGAGAAGCUUCCUUUGUGCAGCAUUUCUUACCCCAAGAGAAUUCUCCUCAAUUAGCUCAGACUCUCGGUAUAGUGGAUGGCUGCAGCAAGUGUUGGUCCAUACCAAAGGAAAGGUCACCUUUGUCGCUGAUCGUUGCUGAAGAAGCAAUUCAUAUUUUGAGUUGAAUAUAAAGACACUGAAAGCUCUAUGCAGCAAAUUUUCAGCUUCAAUCUUUUCCAUUAAAUGACAAUUAUACUUGGUGUCAUGACCAACAACAUGGUCAUUCUCAUCCACCAGAAUACACUCGUCUUCAAACAUGAGACGGCGCUGUACGGCAUCCAUAUUAGCAUCAGAAAUAGCAUCAGCCAUAGUUGUAGUAGAGGCGGCGGAAUAGCACCGGAAACGGCAACGGAGAGAGGAAACAGGUAGGGUAUUAUUAGGAAGAAGAGAAGAUUUGGGUAGCCGGAGUGAAGAAUGAGAAGUUAUAGGGGAGGCGAUGAACCUCCGCAAGAAUUGUAAAGAAGCUGAAGCAGUAGUCAGCGACAUCGGCUUGUUCCCAUCAAUUCCUCUCAAUUCCUUUUCUUCUGCUUCUCCCCUUAUAUUGUUGGAUUUUCU
rnacentral:misc_RNA from 1 species